ensembl:lncRNA novel transcript, antisense to FERD3L
CCUGGACAAGCCUCGGAGGACCAGGCAGAACCCUCUGGCUAGCAGAAAAGCUCGCACCCCCGCACCCUUGCGGCGUCUGCUUCAGACCCUCCACGCAGGCGCCCGCUGGAGCGCCUGCUGGGGAUGGCGUACCACCGACCCUUCAGGCUUUUUAAAAACCUCUCCAAGAGCUCGGUCAUGAAGGAGAUAUAGACGAUGGCCAGGCGGAGGGUCUCGAUCCGGGACAGCCUUUUCUCGUAAGCAAACGUGGGCACCUUCCUCCGCAGCUGGUCAAAGGCCUCGUUGAGGUUGAACAUCCGCUUCCUUUCGCGGAUGUUGGCGGCCUGGCGCUGGGCGUAGGUGAUCACCCUUUUCCUCUUGGGGCGGCCUAAUAGGGAGACACCUCUUCCGCGCUCCUCUUCCUCCUCCUCUUCUCCGUCCCCCUGGUCCACUUCGCACUCCUCUUCUUCUGGGUCCCCCUCUUCAAACCGCGCCAUCCUCCUGGGUCUUCCCUCUCGGAGCGCAAGGGCUGGGUCCCCCAAGGAGACCCCGGGUGCGAAGUCGCAGAGGAGAGGGCGUCUCGGGGAGGCCAGGGACAGGUCUGCGACGAAGUCCAGCACCGUAGUGUCCACGCAGCUCUCCGGAUAGGCCGCCAUCGCUUCGGCUUGGCCCUGCCUCUCAUCGGUUUUCCGCAGGGAGGGGCGAGGUUGCUGGUGGGGAUUCUUAACAGCCUUGAAUCUGAUGGGGCACCAUCACCGAAAGGCCAGGGAACAUUAAAUAUUUAUAACCAAGCUGAUAACAGGAUUAGUCGCACCGAUAAGGAAUGCUCUGACAACGUCCCUUCUCUCGAAGCUUAUGGAAGAUGACAAGCUUGAGCACGCAUGGAAGACUCAAAGGGACAGGGCUCCAGUUCUGAGAUCCUUUUCUCUGCGCCACCCGGGACAGUUCCUUGUUGGCAACAACCCCCAGCUCUUACCUGCUGUGCUUUUUGUGUCUGUCUUCACCCCUGCAGCCAACUAAUGUUCUCCAGGCUCCUUAUCUCGUGUAGUUCUUUAAUUUCGUGUUGGAUUUUCAAAGCGAGGAUGUUUUCCACCGCGAUGGCUUCUCCUUGACUUCAGGGUAGGAGUCUUGAAUCUUGCCACCAUCUGCCAAUGGAUGUGGAGCAAGUGCAUGUGCUUUUAAUGAUGUCCUGAAGAGGGGCCCUGCCUGCCUGGCAUCAAGGGGAGCUGUUUGUCUGGUAUCCCAGUGCAGCGGCUGCUGAAAGGCAAGACCUUCAAUUAGCUUAAGUAAGCAUGGCAGGGGGACCGAGAGUGCAUUCCCCAGAGUCGCUGUUGGAACCGGCUUUCUUUUCUUUCCAGGGCAUCGCAAACAGCUCUCCUGCCACGUUACAAACCCUGACUUCUAAAGUCUGUUUGGAUGCAAUCAGCGUAACAAUUGAGAUACUUGACUUUCCUUUCCCUACCUUUACCUCCUACUCAUAUAAAAUAGAGGAUUUUAUUCCAAGAGGAAAAGUUAUGAUGGCAAUAAAAUGAGAAAUUUAAGCUCAG